UUAUCCAUUGUAUUUAUAAUUGUUCAUUUAAAAAAAAAAAUUACAGAAUUUUAACAUGCAUUGAUUGCAAAGCUCAAAAAAAUAUUUAUUUUGUAUCAUACGCAUAGCGUUUUAUCACCAACCUUUAUUUUGAAAGCAAAAUCCGAAAACCGGAAGUCUUCAUGUGGCUGGUAUAUAGCUAGUGUUGUUUUGGGACCCUCUUCUUGGUUGGUCCGUUCUUGGUCGAGUCCUCUGCCCUGGCUGUCCAAUGACAUUAGAACAAUUUCCUAUUCUAAUUUUGCAUGCAGUUGUGGACUAUGAGCCGCGACUUUCAUUUUUAGCAUGCAUAACAUUCUAGUAGUAGUUUAAAAAAAAUGCAAUGUUAUAUUUUAAUCAAAACUUCUGCAGCAAGAUUUUUGAAAGAAUUCCAAUAAAGAUAACUGAACUAUGGCCCUCAAGUGGCUACCAGAAGGUAAAUCUCGCGYGACUAUAGCCACAUUUGUAAUACAUCAAUGCAGCACACUACAUCGUUUUUGAAUUAAUGUCGUUUUAUAUAUUAUAUACCAUUGAUUUCGAAUCCACCUUAGGUGGAAAACUAUAAAUGUAACAUAAUGCAUCUCUUUGUCCAGCACUGAGCUCAAGUGUAAAAUGAAUUUUGCCAUCUACCUGCCUCCCAAGGCUGAGAAUGGGAAGUGUCUUCUGUCUUGUACUGGCUCUCAGGUGGUUGUAACAUCGAGGGUAAAGAUGAGAGCUGGGACUUUGGCACAGGGGCUGGUUUCUAUGUCAACGCCACCCAGUUGCCCUGGAAGAGCAACUACCGCAUGUACGCCUACGUCACAGAGGUGUGUGGGUCACAUGAUAAUAGCAUUUACUAUUGUGAAUCCCCUGAUACAACUCUCCCCUGGUCUCUUUGUUCUUUUUUUUUCUUCUCUCAACUCUCAUUUGAUCAACGCUAACUUCCCCACUGACCCAGAGAAGAUGUCUAUUUCUGGCCACUCCAUGAGGGGGACACGGAGCCCUGAAAAACCCUGGAAAAUACAAGGCAUGGCAAGUCAGUCUUACAACUCAUGAUAUAGUCAUUAUGUAAUAUACACAUGUGAAUGAAGCCCCCACCCCUCUCUACAGUCUGUGUCUGUUGUUUGCCACCAUCUGCAACCCCAGCCAGAAGGCCUUCAAUGGGUACCUGGAAAAAGACAAGMAAGCCUGGGAGGCGUAUGAUGUCACGGUGCUGGCAGCAUCCUACUCCGGCCCUCAGCUGGACAUCCUGAUCGACCAGGGCCGUGAUGACCAGUUCCUGUCGGCCAGUCAUUUGCUUCCUGACAACCUGAUCGCCUCCUGCUCAGAGAAGAUCCCUGUGGUGUUCAGGCUGCAGCCGGUCAGUGCUUCCACCCAGUGGCCAACUACAGCAACUGUUUGAUAUUUAACAAUUUAAUGUCCUGUACUUUAGUUUGGAAUUAUUGUGUAUUGUACCAGAUGAACAGUGUUAUUGUAAGGGCUACGACCAUAGCUACUUCUUCAUCAACGACCACAUUAAGCACCACGCCAAGUUCCUCAACGCUUAAGACCAUGACUGCUGGACCAGAACCCAACCAGGCUUUCUCCUCCCAACUGUGCACCUGCUACUAUUCACCUGUCCCAUACAGAGAGACGUAGGUGCCUGGUGAACUGACAUUAACCUGAUACACCUGGUGAGCUGAAAUGAACACACCUGCUGUGUUGAGUCAAGCUGAGAAAAAGACAAUAGUGAGAGCAGGAUGUUUGUAAAGAGGAGCUUGCUUGCCACCCACGUGGUCACACCAACUGAAAAAAAAAAAAAAAAAGUGUUACUACUUUUGAUUACAUUUGUUUCCAUCUUAUGACCUUAGGCUCACACACUGACAUCUGAGACCAAUACAAAACACAUGUAGACUAAAGACCAAACAUAAGACUGUUUUCUUCAGAUAGUCUUUACUCAAAGUGAUGAGAAAUAUAUACAGUAUUCACAGCAGUUACGGUGACGUUAAAGGGGUGUUUCAUGCAAUCAAAUCCAAAUUGCUGUACAACAAAUACACCAAUUUGACAAAAGGUACAAAAUUGUACAU